rnacentral:rRNA from 1 species
CCUACGGGAGGCAGCAGUGAGGAAUAUUGGUCAAUGGGCGCGAGCCUGAACCAGCCAAGUAGCGUGAAGGAUGACUGCCCUACGGGUUGUAAACUUCUUUUAUAAAGGAAUAAAGUGAGGCACGUGUGCCUUUUUGUAUGUACUUUAUGAAUAAGGAUCGGCUAACUCCGUGCCAGCAGCCGCGGUAAUACGGCGGAUCCGAGCGUUAUCCGGCUUUAUUGGGUUUAAAGGGUGGGUAGGGGGCGGGUAAAGUCAGUGGUCAAAUUGAGGGGCUCAACCCCUUCUCGCCAUUGAACCUGGCUGUCGUGAGUGGAAGAGAAGUAUGCGGAAUGCGUGGUGUAGCGGUGAAAUGCAUAGAUAUCACGCAGAACCCCGAUUGCGAAGGCAGCAUGCCGGCUUCCGACUGACGCUGAAGCACGAAAGUGUGGGGAUCGAACAGGAUUAGAUACCCGUGUAGUC